rnacentral:rRNA from 1 species
CGCUAUGCGCGUUCCAGCUUCGUCGGUGAUGCGUGGGGGCCGGUGGUUGGUCGGAAGUAGUGUGCGUAAAGGGCCUGUAGGCGGGUUGGCGCGUAUGGAGUGAAAAUCCGGGGGUCAACCCCGGACGUGCUGGGGGUAGGGGCAGACUAGAGUAUGGUAGUGGAGACCGGAAUUCCUGGUGUAGCGAUGGAAUGCGCAGAUAUCAGGAGGAACACCGAUGGCGAAGGCAGGUCUCUGGGCCAUAACUGACGCUGAGAAGCGAAAGCAUGGGGAGCGAACAGGAUUAGAUACCCGAGUAGUC